rnacentral:rRNA from 1 species
CGGGUGAGUAAUACAUAAGUAACCUGCCCUAGACAGGGGGAUAACUAUUGGAAACGAUAGCUAAGACCGCAUAGGUACGGACACUGCAUGGUGACCGUAUUAAAAGUGCCUCAAAGCACUGGUAGAGGAUGGACUUAUGGCGCAUUAGCUGGUUGGCGGGGUAACGGCCCACCAAGGCGACGAUGCGUAGCCGACCUGAGAGGGUGACCGGCCACACUGGGACUGAGACACGGUCCAGACUCCUACGGGAGGCAGCAUG